rnacentral:tRNA from 2 species
CGGGGAUUGGCGCAGUUGGUAGCGCGCCACGUUUGGGACGUGGAGGCCGUCAGUUCGAGCCUGACAUCCCCGACCA